rnacentral:tRNA from 1 species
GGGGCGCUGGCGCAGUUGGUAGCGCAGCCGGUUGUCAGCCGGAAGGUCGCGGGUUCGAAUCCCGUGCGUCCCG